GUUGUCGCGGGCGGCGGUGCACUGAGCAGCUUUGUCCUGCUGGUCGUCCAGCAGGGGGCGGAAAUGGCUGGUUGUAGUCCAGGCACCAAUG
rnacentral:tRNA from 1 species